GCAUGCGCAAUGCGCCCCCAAUGUAAUAACGACAAAUUCAGAUUUACUAUGAUGUGAACACAAUUAGUCAGCUACCUACGCUAAGCAAAAUAGUUCCAAAACUUCGCAGUAACUCCAAAAUCAUAGUUCCCUAUCUAUUUUAAAAUUGACUGGCCAAUUUUGUACUAAAUUUAGCAAUCGUCUUUUAAAAUUGUAUGUAUAUUUUUGCUUUACGCGAUUUUAAUAUUACUACGCCAGCGGUCGAUCAUAGCCAAAGUACUUGCAUAAAUAUAGUACAAAUUACAUGUAGUCACAAGUUAAUUAAGUGUCAUAGAACUCAAAAAUUUAGCAAGUAAUGGAAUACGGAUUUCAGAUCAGCUAACUUUAAAGCUUAUAGGGCCUAAUGCUUCAUAAGUGUAAAUUUAAGAAAAACAAUGCAUGCGUAUGAAUACGAACUAUUUUCGCCCUUACGUCAUUUUACCGCAAUCGCCAUUGUUUACAAGUUCAUCCGUGAAAGAUUGAGAAGUUUAUAUAGAAGUUCCACGUGUUAAAACGAGUUGUUUGUGAAUAAAGGCUUGUUUGUUAGAUUUCAAUUGUGGCUCAGUUGGUUGUUUGCUGAGAAGCUGUGAAACAUAAUUAUACAGGCCAUUAAGGAGGUUUUUGUCAGAUUGAUGAAUGUGAAAUUACAAGGGGACCCAUUUUGAGGAUGCUUUUUAUGAAUGGAAUCACGAGAGAUGAAGUCUAAAAUGUGAUACUGUCAAUGUGACUAACCUUGAAGUAAACAGAUGACACAAUGUUUUUUCAAUGUCAUGGGCAUAUAAUGAAGAGAAAACAGAGAUGCUUGUUUGACAGAUACAGUAAUAGUAGGAGUUAUGAGGGAAGAUAGAUUGCAGUGAUAACUAUAUUGAGGCACCACUUCAUCACCAAGAACAUGAAAUGAAUUAUCAAUGUUUUCAAUGUGUUUGAACACCCAUUUUAAAUAAUACAGCUCAGAGUGAAUUUUUCAAAAUAAUUAAUUCUGUUUUCAAAGUUUUUUAUUUAGAUGUUAGUUGAUCUUGUCAAGUACUUUAUUUUUUUAGGGAUGGCAACAAUUACUAAAAUCAAUACUCGAGUACUCGGUCAUUUAGAGUAUUCGGUUACUGGGAUGAUUUCCAAUGAUCUUUAAAUUUUUAUCACACAAUAUCAACACCGUCUGCAUGCUACCUUCAUUUUCUAUUUUAAUUCAUAGAAUUUGUAGCUAUAAAUAGGAUUGCAAGAAAUACAUAUAAUAAAUAUAAGCAUAAGAAAUGUCAAUGACAGCAUUUAUUAUAUACCUAUAAAUUUUCUUCCUAAAACACAGGAUUAUCUUGAAGCGCAAAUAGUUUUCAACGGUUAGAAAAUUCUGUAUUAUGUUAGAGACAAAUACAGUACCAUAUAUGAAAGGCCUGGACUAUUUUUAUGCUCCCCAAAAAAUUUCGGGUGAGCAUAUAGUCGCCGCCUUGUCCGUCCGUCCGUCCAUCCCCUUUUCUUGUCCGGGACUUAACUUUGAAACAACAACAGGUAUUAACAUGAAACUUUGUAGGUAGAUAGAUCUAAUUGAGUAGGUGUGCAGUGCACAAGAACCGUAACUCUGCCUUGUCUAAUUUUUGAAUUAUUCCCCUUUGUUUAUUUUUACACUUUGAACUUUGUCCGGGACAUAACUCUAAAACUAUAAGAGGUAUCAACAUGAAACUUUGUAGGUAGAUAGAUCUAAUUGAGUAGGUGUGCAGUGCACAAGAACCGUAACUCUGCCUUGCUUAAUUUUUGAAUUAUUCCCCUUUGUUUAUUUUACACUUUGAACUUUGUCCGGGACAUAACUCUAAAAGUAUAAGAGGUAUCAACAUGAAACUUUGUAGGUAGAUAGAUCUCAUUGACUUGGUAUGCAGUGUACAAGAACCGUAACUCUGCCUUGCCUAAUUUUUGAAUAAUCCCCCUUUGUUUAUUUUACACUUUGAAAUUUGUCCGGGACAUAACCUUUAAACUAUAAGAGGUAUCAACAUGAAACUUUGUAGGUAGAUAGAUCUCAUUGACUUGGUAUGCAGUGCACAAGAACCGUAACUCUGCCUUGCCUAAUUUUUGAAUUAUCCCCCUUUCUUUAUUUUACACUUUGAACUUUGUCUCUAAAACUAUAACAGGUAUCAACAUGAAACUUUGUAGGUAGAUAGAUUUCAUUGAGUUGGUAAGCAGUGCACAAGAACCUUAACUCUCCCUUGCCUAAUUUUUGAAUUAUCCCCCUUUGUUUAUUUUUACACUUUGAACUUUGUCCGAGACAUAACUCUCAAUGUAAAAGAGAUAUCAACAUGAAACUUUGUAGGUAGAUAGAUAUCGUUGAGUAAGUUUGCAGUGCACAAGAACUGUAACACUGUCUUGCCUACUUUUGGAGUUAUUGCCCUUUGAUCAUUUUGACACUUUGAACUUUGUCCGGGACAUUACUCUAAGCAGUGCUUAAGAAUUAUUACUCUGCCUUGCCUUAUUUUGAAGUAAUUGCCCUUUGUUUAUUUUUACUUUUUGACUUUUGUACGAGACAUAACUUUAAAACUAUUAGAGAUAUCAACAUGAAACUUUGUAGGUAGCUAGAUAUAAUUGGAUAGAACUGCAAUGCUUAAAGAACCUAAAGAAAGCCUGGUCUAAUUUUGGAGUUAUUACCCUAAUUUCAUUUUUACACUUUGAAUUUUACCUUGGACAUAACUCUGAUAUCAUCAGGCAACUUUAUAGAUGGAUAGAUCUAAUUGAAUAGAAGUGCAGUGCAAAAAAAAACAUAACUCCGCUUUGCCUAAUUUUGGGGUUUUUGCCCUUUGUUCAUUUUUUUUAUACUUUCCAGUGUCCAGAACCUUCUCGGGGAGCAUCACCCGGUUCAACCGGUUCUUGUUAAUGUUGGUUCUGAUCUUAGCUGUGUAUAACAUAGUAUAUGGAAACGGCAACCAAAAUAAUAAAAGGUGUGGCUGGUUUUGCACAAAUUACGUAUUCAUCUGUCAGUCAUAAUUUAUUUCUUGACAGCUACAUUUCUUUUUCUGAAAUUUCUUAUAUAAGUGUAGUAUAAUGAAAAUCAUUUAUACUUCAAACGAAAAGGUAUAUUAUUAAAGGAAAAUUAUGUUGUAGUAGCUUUCUGAGGCUAUGCAUUUUUCUACUUGCAAUGUUGGAAAAUUGUUAUCUAGCUCGCCCUUUAGUCUCGCAAGAUAUCAAUUUCCCACCGCUGCUCAUAGCAAAAUAAAAAGCCUCAGAGAGCUACUACAACAUAAUAUUCUGUAUAUAUAUUUUUUUAUAAUUAACAAGUUUGGGCUAUCCUUGAACUUUUUUUUUAUUUAAUCAAGUUUGAUUUUUUUAAAAUAUAUUUAUAUGAAUGCAUGCAGCUUUGAAAUAGAUUUUACUUAUGUAUAUUUGGCAGCAAUUUCACAUGUAGCUCUUCGAAAAAAAAUCACUUGAGCAAAAAAAAUUUUAUAGGCAUAAAGUGAUACCCGUUCUGUCAUCAUCAGUUUUUGGUUUUUAGCUCACCUGAGCUUGCUCAGGGUGAGCUUUAAGGAUCGGUGAAUGUCCGUCGUCCGUCCACAAUUGCUUGUGAACACUCUAGCGGUCGCAUUUUUGCCUCAAUCAUCAUCAAACUUGGUCAGGAUGCUUAUCUAGUUGAAAGCAUGGAUGAGUUCGAACAUGAGUCAUCUCGGAUGAAAGACUAGGUCACAAGAGCUAAAAAAAGAAAAACCUUGUGAACACUGUAGAGGUCACAUUUUUGACCCAAUCAUCAUUAAACUUGGUCAGGAUGUUUGCCUAGGUGAUAGCUCGGAUGAGUUCGAACAUGGGUCAUCUCUGAUGAAAAAGUAGGUCACAGGAGCUAUAAAUAGAAACACCUUGUGAACACUCUAGUGGUCACAUUUUUAAACCAAUCAUCAUCAAACUUGGUCAGAAUGCUUGUCUAGUCAAUUGCUUGGAUGAGUUUGAACAUGGGUCAUCUCUGAUGAAAAACUAGGUCACAGGAGCUAAAAAUAGAAAAACCUUGUGAACACUCUAGUGGUCACAUUUUUGACCCAAUCAUCAUCACACUUUGUCAGGAUGCUUAUCUGGUUGAUAGCUCGGAUGAGUUCGAACAUGGGUCAUUUAGGAUGUAAAACUAGGUCACCGGAGCUAUAAAUAGAAAAACCUUGUUAACACUCUAGCAGUCACAUUUUUGCAUCAAUCAUCAUCAAACUUGGUCAGGAUGCUUAUCUAGUUGAUAUCUUGGAUGAGUUUGAACAUGGGUCAUCUCAGAUGAAAAUGUAGGUCACCGGAGCUAAAAAUAGAAAAACAUUGUUAACAAUCUAGCGGUCACAUUUUUGCAUCAAUCAUCAUCAAACUUGGUCAAGAUGCUUGUCUAUGUGAUAGCUCGGAUGAGUACAAACAUGGGUCAUCUCGGAUGAAAAAGUAGGUCACCGGAGCUAAAAAUAGAAAAACCUUGUUAACACUCUAGCAGUCACAUUUUUGCAUCAGUCAUCAUCAAACUUUUGUCAAGAUGUUUGUCUAGUUGAUAGCUCGGAUGAGUUUGAACAUGGGUCAUCUUGGAUGAAAAAGUAGGUCACCUGGGGUAGAAAUAGAAAAACCUUGUUAACACUCUUGUGGUCACAUUUUUGCCAUCAAUCAUCAUCAAACUUGAUUAAGAUGCUUGUCUAGGUGAUAGCUCGGAUGAGUUCGGAAAUGGGUCAUCUCGGAUGAAAAACUAGGUCACAGGAGCUAAAAAUAGAAAAACCUUGUUAACACUCUAGUGGUCACAAUUUUGACUCAAUUGUUAGCAAACUUGGUCAGGAAACUUGCCUAGGUCAUUGCUGGGAAUAAAUCGAACAUGGGACAUCUCGGAUGAAAAACUAGGUCACAGGAGAUAAAAAUAGAAAAAUCUUGUUAACACUCUAGUGGCUACUGUUGUGAUCCAAAUAUUCUGUUAAUUGGUCUAAAAGUUUGUUUUGAUGAUUUCUAAGUCAAGAUCCAACAUGGGUCAUCUUGGAUGAAAAACUAGGUCACACCGCCCAAAUAUGGAAAAGCCUUGUUAACAUUCUACUGGUCACAUUUUCGACUCAAUUAUCAUCAAACUUGGUCAGGAUGCUUGUCUAGGUAAUUGCUUGGAUGAGUUCGAAAUCGCAUGUGAAACUAGGUCACCGGAGCUAAAAAUAGAAAAAUCUUGUUAACACUCUUGUUGCUACUGUUUUGAUCCAAGUAUCCUGGAAAUUGGUCUGACAGUUUGUUUUGAUGAUUUCUAGGUCAAGUUUGAAUAUGUGUCACCUGAGUAAAAAACAAGGUCGCACUGCUCAAAUAUGGAUAAUCCUUGUUAACACUGUAGUGGUCACAUUUUUGACUCACCUGUCGUGAGACUUGGUCAGAAUGUUUGUCUAGGUAAUUGUUUGGAUGAGUUUGAUAAGUCAGGUGAGCGAUCUAGGGCUAUCAUGGCCCUCUUGUUUUGUAUGGUUUUAUUUAAGAAAUAUUUUGUUCCAGUUAUUUACAGAUGUUUGUAUGAUUAUUGGAUUAAAGUUAAAGUACA